UACGGUGUCCAGGCGGCCGGAAGGAGAUGGUCGGUGGUUGGAGGGGCUGUAGGCGCGCUGGUCUUACACGGUGAGGGCGGAGCACCCAGCCCGUAGGCUCAUCCCCUUCUCCGAUCCACUCUGGCGGCGGCCAUCGUUGGAAAGAGAUGCAGACGAGAGGAAGAGAGCCUCCCCCAAGCUCUGUCUAGGCGAUGCACGGGCGACGGCCACCCUUCCUGUUAUUGCCUCCAUGGCUGGCUGCUCAUCCCCAGGAACCUCCUCCCCUCUCACGUGCGCCACACUCUGGGAUUAAGUUGGAACACAGGUAUCUAGGGCAGGGCGUGGUCACAUUGCAGGCAGCGAGGAGCAGCGCAAAGUUGUCUUGGCUGUGCCCUGCAUCGAGGAGGAACACAGGUUGAACAAAUCCGACAUCUGUAAAUCAUCGAUGUUUUUCUGGAAGUAGUACAGUAGGUUUAAGAUUGGGCGAUGAUUCAUUCAUUCGACUGCCAGGUGAUCAGAAUUACUGCUUUGUUUAUUACUCAACAAUGUCGGACACUGGUUUCUCUAAAUAUCUUUUACAAGUACAGUUUCUACUUUUUUCUGCAGAAAUACUACAUGGUAGUCUUGAAGUAAAUACCAAUUAUGUGAUCCGAUAUGUUGUUUCAGAACAAUAGACCAUCAAUAUUAUUUUUGCCUCGGGUUCUAGAGGAGGACAGCUAAUUAAGAGAAAACUUCGGUGGGAUAGAGACAGAAGUUUGCUAUAUUUCACAAUACCCAAACAGAAUUUCAUUGCUGAUUCUUCUCCCCUGAACUUUGCUCAUGCCAAUUACAUUUUGUAGACCCUUUUUAAGGAAACUGCUUCGUUUACACCAUCCCAUUGGCAUGUCUAUUAGCAGUAAUGAAACUCAAACGAACACUUCUAGGCUAGAUAUUAUUGAGGUGUUGUGUAUGUUGGUCCUUUUUAUAGAUCUUGCCAUCUUUGUUUGCCAGGUGAUCAGUUAUUUAAAGUAUUUGAGAAACUUGAAGGGAAGCACAUGGCAAAGCCAUAAUUACCUUUUAGUUAUAUUUCAAGUUGUAGGAAAGUUGGAAUCAAUCUGGAAAGCAUCUUUCUAUUGCAGAUAUUUUAUUAGUGGCUUGAAGACUUACACUCUGUUUGAUGUUACAGAAAUAGUGAGG